rnacentral:rRNA from 1 species
UGGGGAAUAUUGCACAAUGGAGGGAACUCUGAUGCAGCGACGCCGCGUGAACGAAGAAGGCUUUCGAGUCGUAAAGUUCUUUUAUAUGGGAAGAUAAUGACGGUACCAUAAGAAGAGGCCCCGGCUAACUACGUGCCAGCAGCCGCGGUAAUACGUAGGGGGCUAGCGUUGUCCGGAAUCACUGGGCGUAAAGGGUUCGCAGGCGGAAAUGCAAGUCAGGUGUAAAAGGCAGUAGCUUAACUACUGUAAGCAUUUGAAACUGCAUAUCUUGAGAAGAGUAGAGGUAAGUGGAAUUUUUAGUGUAGCGGUGAAAUGCGUAGAUAUUAAAAAGAAUACCGGUGGCGAAGGCGACUUACUGGGCUCAUUCUGACGCUGAGGAACGAAAGCGUGGGUAGCAAACAGG